CGUUGAGUGGUUCUGAAAUCGCUGCGUUAGGGGCGACUGCAACCAAGCGUUGUGGCAAGUUACGGUGGGAUCUUCUGUCCGUGCUGUGUGAUUGCGACGGGGGGACCGCCGCCAGCAGCAGCGUAUCGCCGAUUUCGUCUUUGCCUACAUCGAGCAACUGCAGCUCGCCGGACCGCCACAAGCGCUCGAAGUGCUGCGGUUUGCACUGCAUCUUUCAUUGUGAUAUGGGAGAUCGCAACGGACAGAGACGACCAGAUGCAUACGAACCACUACCAGCGGGGACCUGUGACUUGUGCCAUAUUUCUGUUAACGUCUCAGGUAAGCAUAUCAGCUUUUGUUCCGAGUUUACAAACGGCGCGUACUCGGCCCUUCCGGUGUGGCUAUAUUUUGCGCCACGUUUCUCGUGGCAGUUCACAGACGUUUCUUAGGCAUGCGUGCGCGUAUGUAUGCGAAAAUACUACUGGCAGACGGAAGCCUCAGGAGAGCAUCUGAAAUUAUUGCAAAGUUUUACUGCCAGGAUAAACACCGUUCGUAACGACUCUAGUGACGAGUGGCCUGUCGCAUCGAAAAAUCCGUAGAAUAUCAAGUACUGCGUAACUUGAAGUGUAGAUACAAUACUAGCACUAGUGUGACUUUGGCUGGCGAAGACAGGUAGUCGAAAAGACAGCUUGUGUAUUCUGAAGAUUUACUAGCGCUUUAGGUAUAUUACCGCGAAUAAUAAAAGCGCUACAACGCUGUAUAGCAGUGUCAGGCGAUGUGGCAGCACAUAUAUUUUAAGAGCGGUAAAGCGGCUGCACGCACAAGUGAACAGACACAGCACUUUAAAAGCGCUGAAACAGAACAAAUUUUAUGUGCAUUUGGCUGUAAGUAGAAAACACAAAACACGUUAGCUGACAAUCUAAGCCUAUAUAUAAUGUAUUAUUUUUACGUAAUCUUUAUUUUCACUGUUGCAUAUAUUUGAAAGCAUGAAUAUGCUGCAGCAUUUAUAUAGUAAAACCUACUAGGCUUACAAAACGUGGCUGUGUUAUGUGGUGAAAUUGUAAUAUUGCUACUGGGUUUUUUAUAUUGAGUCCUGCGUUUUAUGAAAAAAAGGGUCCUUUUAUUUGUAGUUUUAUGUUAGUGCGUAUAGUUGCCAAGCAGAAAUGAGUUGAUUGCAAAGUUUUACCUUCCUGUGAGCUGCAUAUGAACCGAAGUUUAACCUGUCUUGGCUAUUGUAAUGUGCAUACAACAAUUUUAAAUAUAUACAGCUGUAGUUGGCUUAGUCGCUGCAGCAUAUUUUGUGAAAGUAGAAGGCCAUUUAUUAUUUUGCUGCUUCCAUGCAGAAAUACCUUUUUUCUUGUACCAAGAAACGCUGACACUAUUGAAUGAAAUGAAGUGUGGUGUAUUUUUCUACUAAUUUAAUAAAGGAAAUUUCGUCUGCUGUGUAUCAGAGAUUAGUUUACCUUCUUGUACUAAACAAUGCGUUAUGUCUUCGGGUACUGCUGUUGUCCUGUGUAUAUUUUAAAUUUUGAAAAUGUAUUUUAUUUUAGGUAUUCAAGAAAUGGCAGCAGCCAGAAGUCGCCAUCUUAUCCAGCCCGUUAUGGGUGAGACAAAUCGUAGCAGGCACUUUCGUAUAUCUCAUUAGCAUAUGAUGCUAUUUGUUGUAAUUUUUGUGUCCACUUUCCUGUCUUUAUGCAUUUUACUAUUAUUGUGCAAAGGGUAACAGUUUUACAUUGAGACAGAGUAAUCGCCCAAAGGGGAGACAUGGCUGGAGGAGACAACACACACAAGCCUCCCUUGUCCGUAUCUCUAUGUUGCGCAGUUACUCUGUCAUUAUCUACCAACAAGCCCAAGUUCCUCAUCAGCUACAUUUACUAAUGAUCCGUUAUUACAAUUUCAUUGACAUAACAUUGAAAGUACAGAGAUACACAGGAAGACAGACUUGAACUGAUGAAGAGCCAUAGAACAAGGAUCGCUGGAGCCAAUAUUUCGACAAAGAGAAGGAGAUUUUUCUUCUCAAAACAUUGGCUCCAAUGAAUUUUCUUGUUCUAUCACUAUUUACGGUUAAAAGAAAGCAUUAUUGCUCUAAAAUUAGCAGGGUGAAAAAUUAGCAAGGUGAAAUAUCAGGAAUGUCAAAAUUCUUGUAUAUUCCAGUGCUAGAGCGAAAGCCAGGAAAACAAGAUGUAGAGAACCACAUUUUUAUUUUUCACUGGCCAGUUUGGCCAGCUUCAUUCCGACCUUGCACUUUGUUGCAUUAACGACCACUGGAAUUCGUUAAUUGAAUUAGCUUGGUGAUUUACUUAUAUUGAAAGAUUUUGAACUUGUAUUAAUGCAGCUUAAAAUAAUGCAUGUAAAAAAAUUUACAAUGACAUUUUAAGGUGGCAGGCUUGCAGUUGACUAGCAGAUCACUUGAUGGUAUGAGCUCACGUUUCAACCGAGCUUCCACGCACAAAUCAGUUGCACAUUUUUCUUUCAUUGUUUAGAUUUUCAUAAACAUAAGUACCGUUUCUUUUUUGUCGGGCUUCUAGUUGUGUCGUAGGACCUAACUGUUUACCUUUAUUUGUAUUGGUAGCCGUGUUACUCAGACAGCUCAUUUUUUAUUGUAAAUCGUGACAUGGUAGGACUAAGAACAAUUGUGCAAAUUUGUUGCAGGUACACUCUGGCGGCUCCUACUCCUGCGUCCUACCACCACCCUGUCCUGACUACGUCCACUUGGGAGUUGGGAGCCUUUGGCAGCUUCUGCCACUGCAUCCUGCCGCCACCAUGACCCGACUACGUCCACUAGGGAGUUGGCAGGCUUAGUGAUGAUGCCAGCAGGCUGACAGCCGACAGAAAGAUUCAGGUUGCCUCGAAAUUUUACCCAAGCCAUGCCGCACACUUGGGCCAGGCCUCUUGCGAACGACGUAUAACCAGGCUCAAUGCAUCAGUGUCGAGUGAGUCCGGAGAUCAAGGCAACCUGCUGUGCAACCAGCGUGCAACCUUUGGUGACCCCUCUGAUGUUCUACCUAUUUCAUAGCUGUGCCUCACCUACCAUCUAUCCAAACAGCAUCACCAUCUGUGAUCACUUAUCGAACCAUGGAUGAAUGUUGGGGUGGAGUGAUUUGAACAGACAUUCUAUUUGUCUCUUCAAAUUCUUUGCAAAUAUUUCUGCUAUUAUAAUUCAUAUGUGUCUUUAGUACCUAGUUUUUAAUAGUUCCUUUUUCUUAGAAUUCUCACCAUCUACUCCUGCUAUUAUAAUGUAUACCUGCCUUUAAGCCCCGUUUCUCAUAGUUCUUUUGUACUUGUGGAUGUAAUUGAUAGGUUCUUAAUUCUUGUUGUACAGAAGGCCAAAAUGCCAACUUACGGCAUUUUUUCUUCCUUUGAUAAUCGACAGCACUGCAAUGUGUUCAAGAAAUGUAACAUAACACGGGCUCUGGUGCAGGAUAAAUUUAAGAGCAAUAUAGAGUACUUAUUUCAAGCACCCGUUAUUUUUGAAAAACUCAAGGAUAUUGGAGCACAAGAAAGAAAACAUUGAACUAGAGAAACAUGGCUUCCCCUCAUAAGUCUGGUAAUAAUGUGACUUCCUUUCACUGCUAAGAUACUGGUACUCGCAUACAAGGUUUUAGACAUGAAAGCUAUGAUACCCUUGGCAUUUCUCAGUGCUUAUUUGCCACACUGACGAAUGUCAAAGGCAGCAUAGGUUUCAUGCACACAUUGGUUGUAUUACACCUUUUGAGUAUUGCAUUUCUCAAACACACAGGUUUGCAGCAGUGCUUUAAAUAGCAGAUGUAUUUCCUAAUUUUCAGAAUUUGUUUGUGCAAGAGUAACGCUACAGAUCAUGUGAAAAUGAUUUUACAGACUGAAUGUCCAUCGAUGCAUGCUUCUUCUGAUGACGUAGCAGUGCCAUGUGGUUGGGGGAUGAAUGUCUAUUUCAGAUUUAAAUAUUGGCUUCCAGGCCUGGGUUAGUCUCCUACACUGAGUAUUCUAGGUCAGAGCCUAGUUACUGGAGGAAAGUGAAUUAAACUAGGAAUUUUAAACAUCAAAGGUCUUGUUCGGGACACUAAUGUAACAAUCAGCAAGGUUCUUUGUGCAUUAAUUUCCAGAUUUGCAAGAUUAUAUUUUGACUUGUUUCAUUAAUGCGAGAACAAGUAUUUGUUUAUUCUCAUGCUAGAGUUGGCUGCCCCCAUUCGCAUACAACCCCUUUACAGGCUAAAAAUUCAGUGUAUUAUUAGGCUGUUUUUUGGUUUUGCGCCGUCAGUGUUAAGGGAUGCAAACGGUGACAUACAACAGAAUGCAGAAAAAUGUCUAAGGAAUGCAAGCAGGGCAUAGGGCUAUUUAGGCAGAUGCGUGCAUGUGCUAUGUAUAAAACUCCCUAUGGUAUGCCUCAAGGCAUUUUUAACCCUUUAGUAGAAACACUGACGCCCACUUAUUAAGGGGAAAUGCUCCUCGAAACAACUUUCUUUAAUUGUACUAGAGAUUUGAAUGUGCCGCCAUUCAUAGGGAGUUUUAUGUAGAUUUGUAUUGCCAUUGGUUUUUGUGUAGCUGGUGUUUUUUAGUUAUGUCCUACAUAGUGGCAAUAUAUCUUUAUGGGCACUUUCGUGUGUAAAAAGUUUCGCAAAUAGUUUCAUGCUGUAUGUUAUUUAGCUAGUUGUAUACCGCAAAGUGGCGAUACCUAUCCAAACAGCUUGUACAAUUACUGGAACUUGGCAAAAAUAUAUUAGGCCACUUUAAAUAAUUUUUACAGAUUGCAAUUUCAAUUAGAUAUCGGUAUUCUGAAUAUUUUGAAGAGUAUGUAUGCCAAAUUUCAUUUCUAUAGAACAAUUAUAAGUGCGCAAGGUCAUUUUCAUGCUAUUAUGAGAAAAAAAAUCAUUGAAGUAUUCUCAAUAAUUUUUUUUCAGAGUACAUGAGAGGUAUGCAAGAUUAGUAGGCCGGCCUUCCUGCCUGCCUACUAUCUUGCAUACUUCUACUAAGUUUACAUGCUGUUUGAAUAGAUAUCAGCACCUUGCAGUCUACAGGGCGCUGAAAAAUUUAAUACACAAGAAAGUGCCCGCAAAUAUCACUAUGUAUUUUGCCAUUGUGUAGGGCAUAACUCAAGAAGCAGCUAAACAAAAACUAAUGGAAUAUAUGAAAUCUGCAUGAAGAACUCUACAAUUGGCUCUCUUUUCAAACCUCUAGUACAAAUAAUAAAAAUAUUUCGAGUAAUAUUCAAUCAGCAAAACGUUCCCCUUGCUACAGUGACCUACAACAUAGCGAUGCAAAGUUUAAGGCAAGUACUGGUCAUUGUAGAUUUUGUGUCUUCAGCAUUUGUUCUGUUCCACCGCUGUUUCUUGAAAUCUGGAAUGAUGCACCCAUCUCUUUUUUAGCGAUAAACAGGGAAAUCUGUCAGUAUGUUUUGUUUAAAAUGGAGCUGAUCAACCCAAUAGUUAGGCUAUUUGCUAAUUAUAAAUUACAACGAUAAUAGUACAGGACCAUAAAAACAGAUUGAUGCUGAAUAACAGCUGUGCCCAGCUACAUCUACGCAGUUGUGCCACACAAUGUGCAUGUGUUCAGAAGAGCCAAAUGCCCCAGAGAGAAAGCAACAGUAACUUAUUGUUCGUCAUCUUGUACAAGCAGAUUAUGCGCCAGAUGUAAUUUAUACUCAGUAAAUACAUAAAUCAGCCAUGUGAGGUGUCUCGCUUUAGGUUGCAAAUUCGAACUUCUUGUAAUCUUGCUUGUUUUUAUUUUGUUUUCUUUGAGAGCAUGAGUAACUUGAUUGCCUUGGCACAUAUUGUCAAAACUGUUUCAUCACUGGGAAUCACGAAAGUUCAUUUACACAUAACAUUCCCAGUAACUGAUAUGGUAGGCUUCGACCUUAAUUCUCUUAUCUUUUAUAUGUCUAUCUACCAAGUAGUUGUAUCGUUCAUUGAGACAUAUCCAUGCAAUGCACAGUGGGAACCCAAAUUAUAAAUAUCUGUUCUUCCUUUCUACCCUGCUCUACAACAUAAUGAAGAUACAAAGCAAAACUAUAAGUUUGCAAUUGUCCCCCAUAACCAGAGUUUCGCUUAGAAUUUGGAAAACAAAAUUGACAUCCUGCUAUGGUGUGAGAGUUGCUCUGGGCACCAAGUGAACUGCGUAGCACCUGUGCUAGAGUACACAACAAUGCAAAAAAUCGCACCAGAUUGGAAUGGCAGUGGUAAGUUAAGAACAGAUGUUUUAUUUCACGCACCAUUAAUGUGGCUUAUCAUCUGCUCCUGUUUUGUGGGAACGCAUACAUUGGGAAGACAAUUUUUUGCACCAAUCUUACCUUAGCGGGACACCAGAGAAAGGCAGAAAUCAAGAACAGGUAUUCACACUUUGUUGUCCACAGUGUAUUACCUGGAUGUGUUUCACUCUACAAAAGACUGCUGUGGUAGAUAAUCAUAAAGACAAAGACAAAAGAAUUAAAAGAGAAAGAGGUAUGUGUCAGUCAUCCUUCCAUGACAUCCAGUGUUUAUAGAAACACUUCUUUCUGUAUAUGUGCCAAGCCGUAGGGAGGCUUUACGUAAAUCAAUCAUGCUUUCCAAGUUAAAAAUUGGAAUAAGGACAAUCGCAAGAACAUUGUAUGAGUGAUUUGUAAAUGUGGCACCUAAUGUAACUUAUUUACGUAUGCGCUGAGGGUAGAUUACAGCCAGUGCAUAAUCUCCUCUUACAGGAUAACUUACAGGAUAACUCCUCUUACAGGAUAAAAGAAACUUUCCUCACAUCUUCCUCUUUGUUUCUUUUGAAUCUUGGUGCACCAUGUAUAUUGUUACAGCUGCAUGCAUGCAGCUGGGUAUAGUUUAUGUGUUCUGCUUCCUCCCUUGUCCUCAUUAUUCAUGUGCUAUCUUUGCCGUAACAAAAUACGGCUACCUGUGCUACAUAUUUUGUCAGCGUGUUUGCGUUAUGGCAAGUUUUGUAUUAGUGGUUAUUGCAAUCUGUGAAAUUGUCUGUGUCAGCUAUUAUACUUUGUCUUGGAAAAGUAUGUUUGUCAACAUAAAUAAACAAUAGUAUAAAUGUUGCUGUAUUUAUUUUUGUAAUAUUAUCUGUUGUGAAGCUUUUAUACACUGUUGCAUGUUGUUUGACCGAAUAAAAUUGAUGCCCAACUU